UACAGAGGUCCCAAGCGUUGUUCGGAUUCAUUGGGCGUAAAGGGUGCGUAGGUGGCGCCGUAAGUCAGGUGUGAAAUCUCGGGGCUUAACUCCGAAACUGCAUUUGAUACUGCGGUGCUUGAGGACUGGAGAGGAGACUGGAAUUUACGGUGUAGCAGUGAAAUGCGUAGAGAUCGUAAGGAAGACCAGUGGCGAAGGCGGGUCUCUGGACAGUUCCUGACACUGAGGCACGAAGGCCAGGGGAGCAAGCGGG
rnacentral:rRNA from 1 species